rnacentral:rRNA from 1 species
UACGAAGGGGGCUAGCGUUGCUCGGAAUUACUGGGCGUAAAGGGAGCGUAGGCGGACUGUUUAGUCAGAGGUGAAAGCCCAGGGCUCAACCUUGGAAUUGCCUUUGAUACUGGCAGUCUUGAGUACGGAAGAGGUAUGUGGAACUCCGAGUGUAGAGGUGAAAUUCGUAGAUAUUCGGAAGAACACCAGUGGCGAAGGCGACAUACUGGUCCGUUACUGACGCUGAGGUGCGAAAGCGUGGGGAGCAAACAGG